UACGGAGGGUGCGAGCGUUGUCCGGAAUCAUUGGGCGUAAAGGGCGCGUAGGUGGCCCGGUCAGUCAGUGGUGAAAGCGCGGGGCUCAACUCCGCGUCGGCCAUUGAUACUGCUGGGCUGGAGCACUGUAGAGGCAGGCGGAAUUCCGGGUGUAGCGGUGGAAUGCGUAGAGAUCCGGAAGAACACCCGUGGCGAAGGCGGUUCUCUGGGACGGUACUGACGCUGAGACGCGAAAGCGUGGGGAGCGAACAGG
rnacentral:rRNA from 1 species